UCUCCCUGUCCAGUUUUGGGUCUCCCCAGUUAUUUUUUGGGGUUCCUGGUUAUUUUUGGGGUUCCUGGUUAUUUUUUGGGGUCUCACUGAUUUUUUGGGGCCCCCCAGGGGGCGUCGCGGCAGCUGGGGGAGCUGCGGGCGCAGCUGCAGCAGGCGGAGGAGGCGCUGGCGGCCAAGCAGGAGCUGAUCGACAAGCUCAAGGCCGAGGCCGAGCAGCAGCGAGCGGCCCUCGAGACCGUGCCCGUGCUGCAGGCGCAGCUGCAGCAGGCGGAGGAGGCGCUGGCGGCCAAGCAGGAGCUGAUCGACAAGCUCAAGGCCGAGGCCGAGCAGCAGCGAGCGGCCCUCGAGACCGUGCCCGUGCUGCAGGCGCAGGUGGGGACACCCAGGGGACACUUUGGGGACACUUUUUGGGGACAUGGGGACACCUUGGGGACACCCUGGGGGGACUCUGGGGACACUUUGGGGUCACCCCGGGGACAAAGGGACACCCAGGGGACACUUUGGGGACACCCUGGGGGCACCUCAGGGAUUUGGGGUCACCCUGGGGACACUUUGGGGUCACCCUGGGGGGACUUUGGGGACACCCAGGGGACACUUUGGGGACAACCUGGGGGUACCUCGGGGACAUGGGGACACCCCAGGGACAUCUUGGGGACACCCCAGGGACACUUUGGGACAUUUUGGGGGUUGGGGGGGACCACUUUUGGGACUCUUGGGCCAGCUGGGGAGUUUUAGGGACAAUUCAGGGAAUCCUGGGGUGUUUCGGGGCUCCCUUUUGGGGACUUUUUGGGGCCACUUUGGGGACUAUUUUGGGUCGAGACCCUUUUGGGCCAUUCUGGGAACAUUUUAGGGAUAUUUUGAGGACAUUUGGGGACAUUUUGGGUGUUUGGGGGGGGCGCACUUUUGCAACUCAGGGGCCAGCUGGGGAUGUUUAGGAACAAUUCAGGGAACCCUGGGGCGUUUCAGGGCUCCCUUUUGGGGACUUUUUGGGGACCGUUUUGGGUCGAGACCAUUUUGGGCCAUUCCGGGAACAUUUUAGGAAUAUUUUGGGGACAUUUUGGGGGGUGUGGGGGGGCGCACUUUUGCAACUCAGGGGCCAGCUGGGUAUUUUUAGGGACAAUUCGGGCAAUCCUGGGGCGUUUUGGGGCUCCCUUGGGGACCCUUUUUUGAGGACCUUUUUG
rnacentral:lncRNA from 1 species